rnacentral:rRNA from 1 species
CCUACGGGAGGCAGCAGUGGGGAAUAUUGGGCAAUGGGCGCAAGCCUGACCCAGCAACGCCGCGUGAAGGAAGAAGGCUUUCGGGUUGUAAACUUCUUUUAUCAGGGACGAAGCAAGUGACGGUACCUGAUGAAUAAGCCACGGCUAACUACGUGCCAGCAGCCGCGGUAAUACGUAGGUGGCAAGCGUUAUCCGGAUUUACUGGGUGUAAAGGGCGUGUAGGCGGGAAAGCGAGUCAGAUGUGAAAACCAUGGGCUCAACCUGUGGCCUGCAUUUGAAAAUGUUUUUCGUGAGUACUGGAGAGGCAGACGGAAUUCCUAGUGUAGCGGUGAAAUGCGUAGAUAUUAGGAGGAACACCAGUGGCGAAGGCGGUCUGCUGGACAGCAACUGACGCUGAGGCGCGAAAGCGUGGGGAGCAAACAGGAUUAGAUACCCCGGUAGUC